UUGAGCUCUGGCAGCCAUAGCCAUGGCUUUCUCUUUGUUCACAACUACAUCAACCUUCUCUGUCUCUCUUCGCUGCCAAGCUCGACCCAAUACCAGUCGCAGUAGAACCAACCCAAAGCGCCUGUCUACAAACACUAACAGAAGAAGGCAAAAACCCAAUCCCCCUCAGCGAAAAUCCGGUGAGUUUAGGCCACCAUCGCCAAUUACCACAGCUGCCGGUGAUACUGCCACUACCUUCACUCGUCUACCCCCAAAAGAUGACUUUUUUCUUCCGUCCCUCCAAGAUUCAACUGAAAUGACUCUCUCUGAGUUAACUAUUCCCACCCCAGCUAAGAAUCGUAAGCAAGAGUUGGAUGGUGAAAAUGUAGAGAAUGUAAGAUUUGAUUAUGGAAAAUUCGAGUUGUACGAGGUUGAUGAUGAUAUUGAGGAUGAGAGCGAGGAUGAUUUUGAUGAAAAUGAUGAUGUGGAUGGUCAAAUGGAAGGUACUGGAAGUAGGGUGUUUGAGGGUAUUGGGAAAUUUGAGCUGUAUGAGGUUGACGAUGAGUUUGAUGAAGAUGAUGAUGAGGGCAUUGAAAUGGAAGGUUCUACAAGUGGGGUUUUUGAGGGUGGUGAUGUGUUUGAAGGGGAAGGGAGUGAUAUAAAGGAGAAGGAGAAAGGGGUUCCAGCAGUAAUGAGGUGUUUUGAUAGGGCAAAAAUAUAUGUAAAAGCAGGGGAUGGAGGGAAUGGGGUGGUGGCAUUUAGGAGGGAGAAGUUUG
rnacentral:misc_RNA from 1 species